GGAUAACUACCCUUUAGGACUGGGAUAACCCUGGGAAACUGGGGAUAAUACCGGAUAGGCAAUUUUUCCUGGAAUGGUUUUUUGUUUAAAUGUUUUUUCGCCUAAGGAUGGGUCUGCGGCCGAUUAGGUAGUUGGUUAGGUAACGGCUUACCAAGCCAUUGAUCGGUACGGGUUGUGAGAGCAAGAGCCCGGAGAUGGAACCUGAGACAAGGUUCCAGGCCCUACGGGGUGCAGCAGGCGCGAAACCUCCGCAAUGUGAGAAAUCGCGACGGGGGGAUCCCAAGUGCCAUUCUUAACGGGAUGGCUUUUCAUUAGUGUAAAGAGCUUUUGGAAUAAGGGCUGGGCAAGACCGGUGCCAGCCGCCGCGGUAACACCGGCAGCUCUAGUGGUAGCAGUUUUUAUUGGGCCUAAAGCGUCCGUAGCCGGUUUAAUAAGUCUCUGGUGAAAUCCUGUAGCUUAACUGUGGGAAUUGCUGGAGAUACUAUUAGACUUGAGACCGGGAGAGGUUAGAGGUACUCCCAGGGUAGAGGUGAAAUUCUGUAAUCCUGGGAGGACCGCCUGUUGCGAAGGCGUCUAACUGGAACGGUUCUGACGGUGAGGGACGAAAGUUAGGGGCGCGAACCGGAUUAGAUACCCGGGUAGUCCUAACUGUAAACGAUGCGGACUUGGUGUUGGGGUGGCUUUGAGCUGCUCCAGUGCCGAAGGGAAGCUGUUAAGUCCGCCGCCUGGGAAGUACGGUCGCAAGACUGAAACUUAA
rnacentral:rRNA from 1 species